rnacentral:lncRNA from 1 species
GACGCACAUAUCUCAAAGCGAUUAGCGGGUGAUUCAACGGUGGAUUCGCACGAAGGAUUGUGAAUCCUUCUUUCGCGCGAACCCGAAACUAUGCGCCCAUGACCUUCACCGUCCCUAUCUACUAAAAUAAAUAGUUUUAUUUAGCUCGGUGUCGGGAGAGGGGGGGGGGAGAAAGGAGAGGAAUUUCUUCAGCCGCCUUCUCUUCGCUUCCUCGUCUUCCAAGAAGGUUCAACAGCUCAUCUCUCUGGCCGCUAAGACCAAGAUCUCCUUUUCCUCAGAUUUCUUCCGGCGAAAACGAAAUGGUACGCGCUCUCGUCUCCCUUCGCUUGCUCUCCCCGUUCGGUUCCUUUUUCGUCUAAUUUUUGCUCCUCUUUUGGUUCAAACGGACGACGAG